UAGCCUUUUGAUAUAACGUUUCAAUUUCAAGAACUCUGUGCAUCUGCUGCUGCCUGCAGACAUUUUUUUAAAUCUCCAAGCCCAAAAAACACAACCUUUUAAAGGGACUCUGAACUCUUCCUCCCUAUCAUUUUGUGAACAUCAAAUACUCCACCCAACUUUCCAACAAAGAGGCACUAGAUUCUUCUAAAUACACAGCAGUAGGUUCACAGACCAUUUAAUGCACAUUUCAUCUUUUUUAAUUCUGGCACCACAAGCAAGACAGGUUUUAUAGCCAAUGCCUAGUUGCCUUUGGGCAGGUGACAAUGAGCCACUUUCAUAAACCACUGCAGUCCCUUAGAAAGUGGUGCUUUACUCCUAUUAGAUAGGGAGUUCCCAGAUUUUGAUCUAGUUGUGAUGAAGGGUCAGUGGUAUGUUUCUACGUCAUGGAAGGGAAAUUGACAGUACUGGUAAUUUCAUGUGUCUCCUGUCCUUGUCUAUGUGGUAGCAGUCACUGCAUUGCAAGAAGCUGCUGUGCGUUGUGUAGAUGCUGGUGAGAGGAGCAACUGUUUAAGAUUGUUGAGAGGGUUCUUGUCAAUGAUGAUAGCUUAAUGUCAUCAAAGUUGCCAUCAUACUUUGAACUUUUUUAUUCAUUCAUGGGAUGUGGGCAUCCCUGGAUCGGGUAGCAUUUAUAACCUGUCCCUAAUUGAGGGCCGUUAACAGUCAGCAUAUUAUGCAUCUGCAGUCACACGUAGGUCAGACUGGGUAAGGAAUGCUUAUUUCCUUCCCUAAAGCUGGUGAAUUAGGUUAGGGCUUGGAAUUUGACACGUGUCCCUAGAUCAUUGCCUGGUGUUCUUGGUCACUAGGUCUAGUCACGUCCCUAUGCCUCCCUUAAAUUGUUGUUGCAGCAGCGUUCAUCCAUUACACCCCUCACUUGUGCCUUGUUUAAAAAAAAAUCUUUUGACAAGUCCGGAGGUGAGUCAUUUGCUGUAGAAUAUACAAUCUCUGACCUGCUGUUGUGACAGUAUUUAUAUGUCUAAUUUAGUUAAGUUUCUGGCCAGUGGUAAUCCUCCAGGUUACUGUUGGUGAGGGAUUUGAUUAUGUCAGUGCUAUGGAUGUCACAGGAAGGUGGGAAUUUGACACUCUUGUUGGAAUGGACAUUGUUUGGCAGUGAUGAGCUUGUCAUUAUCAUGGUUGAAUGUUGUGUGGAUCUUUCUUAAUAUUGCAUAAAUUGUUUCAUAUCGGAGGAGUUCUGAGUGAAGAUGAAUACUGCAUAACCAUGACCAAACAGUCCUACUUUAGAUAGAGGGAAGUUGCAAUGGAGUAGAUUAAAUCAUAUCUUGAUGUAUUUUUGGAAAAGGGAAUUGGUAUUGAUAGGUCAAUAAUUUGUUUUCUCCAGGCAUUUGAAUUGUAUGUUACCUUUCCAACUCGAGAGGAGCUGGUCUUUAACCCUGACUAUAAGUGGAAGACACUGAGCUUUGACUGUUGUCUUUGACAAGUUAUUGUUGUGCAACCCAAAAAUAAACUUUGGAGAAUGUUUUUGGUAGUCUUGCUGGUGUGUUUUACAUUGUCCAAUGCUGAUUUUACUGUAUUCAUAAUUUUAUCAGCUUGUCUUUUUGAUACUACAAUGUUUUUGUGAUUCACUACAGUUCUAUUUCUGCUUGAGUUUUUCAUAAAAGUGUAGAUAAUUACAGUGCAGAAGGAGACCAUUUGCUCAUCUUAUCUGAGGCAAACUUUUCUAAGAACUGAUUCCAUUCUCCUGCUCUUUUACCAUUGUUGUACAAUCUCUUUGUUUUUGGCUAUCUAUACAGUUCUCUUUGGACCCACAAUUGAAUUUGCCUCAACACAUUCUCAGGGUUAGUCAACAGAGUAAAACAAAUCGUAUGAUAGCAGAUAAUCUUGCCAUUUGUUUUUGGCCUACCUUCCUGAGACCAGAUGGCCUUACCAAUGCUGCAGUGAAUCAGUCUGCAAUUGAGACGUUUAUUCAGCAGUAUCAGUUCCUCUUUUACGACGGAGAAAUUGUAGAAACAGCCACUGCUCCUGAGGAACCUUGCACAGGUCAGUUGGUAGAACCAUUGUUACCAUUACCAUCGUUGCCACCACCUCCAGCAUCUCAACAGUUCCAAACACAGAUCCAGACAGAUCAACUUGAUAUCAUAUGAGCAAAAUAGCAAGACACGUCGUUAUAAACUGGGUAUCUGACAGUCCAGUUGCUAAAGUUUGGAAGACCUAAAGCUGUUACUCAUUUGCAAACUGUAGUAGCAACAUUGCUUUAAGAUCAAUCUAGCAUUCCUUUCUUCACUUACCAAAGGAGACAGUUGUAAGUGUAGAUAUUAAUGGAAUUUCUAAAAUGAUUGUGUAUAAAACAAACUGGCUGCAAUAAAUACAUUCCACUUGCUGCAUGAAAGAAAAGCAUCCUUGACAGUUUCUGUGGAUUUUUUUUUGUGGUUGUUUUCUUCACAAACCUUUUGACAGUUGUGAAUAACAGAGUAUGUAUACACUAAAUUGUACAAAAUGAAGUCAAAUAUAUUUCUCAGCCAACAAUAUAAUAUAAAAAUAUUCCAACUGGAUUUGACCUUUUAUUUGUGCUGUUUGGGGAGUCAUUGUGUUUGUGUCCUUACAUAUUUGUGUGGGUGGGUAGAUGGAAAUGCUGUCAUUAGCAGCCUCCCAACAUUUGCACUGCUUCUGAAAAUGUAGUUUUAAGAAAAAAUGCUAGGUGUACUGUAAAAGACUUGAUGUCUACUGCACCUUCUGUUUACUGGUAAUAGAACUGUGGUGAUUCUUUUUGUUAUCAGAAGAAUCACUUAUUUUAAUGACCAACAGCACAAUAAGGAUCAGUUCAAGAGAGAAAACUGAGCUUAAAAAUUACCAUCAUUUUAUCCUAUAUGUCUUAUUGCAUUUGUUUCGUUUAAAGGAUAAAAUGUAGACUUUUAUAGUAUCCUUAAUUGUUGGAAAAUAAUGCAUGUGUUAAAUUCAUGGUUGGUCUUGUACCUUCUCCUAAUGCAUUUUUAGAAAUAAUUUUCCUCUUUGGAAUGAAAGGGGAAAAUAUUGGGUGUAUAGAAAAGUCAUUUUUCAUAUGAGAUUGUAAAUCUUUCCAUAAUCCUUCAAUUAUAUGGCUUUCACAUGUUGUGUUUGCAAUAAAGAAUGGUGUAUUAAAUAGCUACAAGUACUGCUUGUUUCUGUUAACUCAUUUUAAUGUGACCCUUACAAGUAACCUGUUAUGACUUAAAUAUUGCUAACAUAGCAAUAAAUAUUUUGGGUAUUGGGAAUUACACACAGUUCAUGUAUAAUUUUGUAAAGCUUGUAUUCCUGUUACUUCCUGUGGUAUUUUGUACUAAAAUUUAUUUAGAAUAUUAUUUUAGCUUACAUUGUUCAAAUUACAUGUAUGUAACAACUUGUUUUAAAAAAUACACUUUUCUCAAAUCGGUACCCAUUUUGCUGUAAAAUGAUUCUGCUUUAAGUAGAAGAUUUGUUAAUUUGAAUAAGUGCUGUACGUUUUCCUGAAAGUUAAUGUAAAAUAAAUUGGUGAGCUGGAUGGAAUGUAAUCAGUAUUUGGUGGGGAAACUGGCUGUGUGAAUAGCAUCGAUUCUACUCUAGUUCUGAAACAGUCAAUUAAUGUUUGCAACUAUUUGCAGAUAUUAUCAGAACAUUAUUCUUUUCAGAGAAUUGUUAAUCAUUUGAAACAUUCUGCUGCUAGUAUAUGUUUUGUGUAGGUUUGGGUGCUAGUUAACUAUGAAAACAACUCAAUUUGCUCAGUGUUGUUAUUCACCUCAGUGGAACUGACAUGAAACUCUUAAGAUUUUGACAUCAGUUACAAUGUAUUAUAGUAAAUAAAUCAUUUGAGAAGCAAAUCUUAAGAGUUUGUACUCCACUUUCCUUAAUAAAAUCCUUUUUCUAUGAA